rnacentral:rRNA from 1 species
UACGUAGGGUGCGAGCGUUAAUCGGAUUUACUGGGCGUAAAGCGUGCGCAGGCGGCCCGUUAAGACAGGUGUGAAAUCCCUGGGCUCAACCUAGGAAUUGCGCUUGUUACUGGCGGGCUCGAGUACGGUAGAGGGGGGUGGAAUUCCUGGUGUAGCAGUGAAAUGCGUAGAGAUCAGGAGGAACACCGAUGGCGAAGGCAGCCCCCUGGGCCUGUACUGACGCUCAUGCACGAAAGCGUGGGGAGCAAACAGG